rnacentral:rRNA from 1 species
AUUGAACGCUGGCGGCAGUCCUAACACAUGCAAGUCGAACGAGUGGCGGACGGGUGAGUUAUGUCUGGGAAACUGCCUGAUGGAGGGGGAUAACUACUGGAAACGGUAGCUAAUACCGCAUACCAUCGGAUGUGCCCAGAUGGGAUUAGCUAGUAGGUGGGGUAACGGCUCACCUAGGCGACGAUCCCUAGCUGGUCUGAGAGGAUGAUCAGUCACACUGGAACUGAGACACGGUCCAGACUCAUACGGGAGGCAGCAGUGGGGAAUAUUGGACAAUGGGCGAAAGCCUGAUCCAGCCAUGCCGCGGGUGUGAAGAAGGGCUUCGGAUUGUAAAGCACUUGAAGUUGGGAGGCGUUACCAGCAGAAUAAGCACCGGCUAACUUCGUGCCAGCAGCCGCGGUAAUAC